AGAAUCAACGCUGGCGGCGUGCCUAACACAUGCAAGUCGAACGAGAAAGUGGAGCAAUCCAUGAGUAAAGUGGCGACCGGGUGAGUAACACGUGACCAAUCUACCCUUGAGUGGGGGAUAACCUCGGGAAACCGGGGCUAAUACCGCAUAACAUCCUCGGGACGGAAGUACUGGGGAUCAAAGGAGCAAUUCGCUUAAGGAGGAGGUCGCGGCUGAUUAGCUAGUUGGCGGGGUAAUGGCCCACCAAGGCAAAGAUCGGUAGCCGGCCUGAGAGGGCGCACGGCCACACUGGAACUGAAACACGGUCCAGACUCCUACGGGAGGCAGCGGUGGGGAAUUUUGCGCAAUGGGGGAAACCCUGACGCAGCAACGCCGCGUGGAGGAUGAAGUCCCUUGGGACGUAAACUCCUUUCGACCCGGACGAUAAUGACGGUACGGGUGGAAGAAGCCCCGGCUAACUUCGCGCCAGCAGCCGC
rnacentral:rRNA from 1 species